AGGAUAAACGCUGGCGGCGUGCCUAACACAUGCAAGUCGAACGCGCUUUCGGGCUUCGGUGCGAGAGCGAGUGGCGGACGGGUGAGUAACACAUGGGUACCUACCUUGGAGUGAGGGAUACCGGCGAGAAAUCGCCGACAAUACCGCAUAGGCUUCUUCACAAGGGAAGCAAAGUGACGCGAGUCACGCUGUGAGAUGGGCCUGUGGCCGAUUAGCUAGUUGGGGGGGUAACGGCUUCCCAAGGCGACGAUCGGUAGCUGGUCUGAGAGGACGAUCAGCCACACUGGGAUUGAGAACGGCCCAGACUCCUACGGGGGCAGCAGUGAGGAAUUUUCCGCAAUGGAGGCAACUCUGACGGAGCAACGCCGCGUGCAGGAGGAAGGUUUUCGGAUCGUAAACUGCUUUUCGUCGGGGACGAGCGAAGGACGGUACCCGAGGAAGAAGCCCCGGCUAACUACGCGCCAGCAGCCGC
rnacentral:rRNA from 1 species